GUAAUAGUAGAGAAUUGAGCACCAAUAGCAGACCCAAGAAAACUACAAUAUAGAGGGUAAUUGAACAGUAGUAGGCUAAAGUUCAGCCUGGGUUUCAAACAAGUUGAGUAACCAUUAGUCUCGAGAGAAGUGAGAGAGAUUGUGUAGAAACAAAAUAGCACUGAAUAUAUUUUGUGUACGAGAGAGAGUUUAGAAUGAAUAUGUUCGUGUUUUAAGUGAGAAUAGAAGAGGAGUACUUAUAGCUAUUGAAAACCAAUGGAGAAUAGGGUAACCAGUACAUAAUUAUAGAAAGAAUACCAAUU
rnacentral:lncRNA from 1 species